CCGGCGCUGCCUGAGUCCCCUCUCCCGCCGCUCCCCCUUUUGUGUGGGCGCCCCUCCCCGUUUUGUCCCGGCCUGGGGGUGCAGGCAGGGCGGCGACUGUAGGCUGGGGUGCCGGCUGGGAGCAGAGCUCCUUUUAGGGGGAGGGGAGACUCGCUUCCUGCUCCCGCCGAUGUCACAGGUCGGCUUAGCCGUUUCUGGUCCCACCCCGUCCCCUGGGAGCUGCAUCUCCCGGAGACCGGGCUAGGGAAAGUUCAGAAUGCGCUGUCCCCGCCCCUGCUGCCCCCCAUCCCGCCCCUCUGGCUCUUAAGUGCUCAGGGCGCUACGCUCCAGGGGGUUGGCGGUUGCCUUGAUUCCUUCUGUCCUCUUCAUUUUCUCUUGUGCAUUGUUGCCAUGCACCCAGCAUUGGCUUAGCCAUUUCAUUUCCUCUUUUAAAAAGUUUUAACUCCAAGAAAGGAGCUAAAUUCCAGGAAGGAAUUUGUUUUAAGGGGAGGGAGGUUUUAGAUUUUCCUUCCUUUGGUGGCAGUAGAGAUUGAAGGGACUAACUGGGAGUUUAGAAUAAGACGUCUCAGAGGUGAUACUGGAUAGAAGACCAUCCAUCCCACGCCCUACCUGCUCCUCAGGCAGCAACAGAGAGUUGGGGAUAAGCCUUUCCCUUGGUUAACUUGCAGCCACCUGACCCAGGAGAAAGGAUGAUCUGGGCCUCACAGACCAUUUCUUUAUAGCUUGGUGGAGUUAGCCUGGUGCCUGAAGGAGGUUCUUUGGCCACAGGAGGACAUAACUCUCCUGCUCCAUGAACUCCGAGUAAAGUGGAGUGGCCCAUGCGUGGGCCUCAGAGGAGGUCAGGUUUUCUUGAUCCUGCAGCAACCUUGGCUGGGUGAGGCAGGAACUGGGCAGUGUGGUCAGCUUCCUCCAUGCCUUUGUGGUUCUUAAUAGCUGAGUUGUCACUGUCACCUCCUGCGCUGAAGAAACAGAAGUCUCUUCAGGGUUGCCACUCAGAAGGCAGUGAUUCACUCUUGUCUCUCUGCGCCCUAGAAGAAGAACCCGAGGCAAAUGCAUUUAAACUGCGGAGGAGGGACUCAAAUUGAAGAUCUGAGGAGGACGUUCCAGAGAGGAUGUGAGAUGUAAGACAAGUGACUCAUAGGAGCAGAGGGGAAUGGCCUCCCCACGAAGGUCUUUGGAAAUGGAACGAGUUUCGUUUAUCUUUGUGGCUUAAGAGGUUUGUUUCCUCUGGAGUCAGGAAGAUGAAGUAGAGGCCCCUAGAGGUGCGUGUCAGCUCAGUGAUGAGGGAUAAAAGGACAUGAAGUUUUGGACUAGAAGGUGGCUUACAUCUGGCCCAAGCCCUCAUUUGACCAUGAAGUGACCAAAAAAAAAAAAAAAAAAAA